CUGGGAGGACCAUCUCCUAAGGCUAAAUACUCUCUAGUGACCGAUAGUGAACCAGUACCGUGAGGGAAAGGUGAAAAGCACCCCGGAAGGGGAGUGAAAUAGAACCUGAAACCGUGUGCUUACAAGUAGUCAGAGCCCGUUAAUGGGUGAUGGCGUGCCUUUUGUAGAAUGAACCGGCGAGUUACGAUUUGAUGCAAGGUUAAGCAGUAAAUGUGGAGCCGUAGCGAAAGCGAGUCUGAAUAGGGCGUUUAGUAUUUGGUCGUAGACCCGAAACCAGGUGAUCUACCCUUGGUCAGGUUGAAGUUCAGGUAACACUGAAUGGAGGACCGAACCGACUUACGUUGAAAAGUGAGCGGAUGAACUGAGGGUAGCGGAGAAAUUCCAAUCGAACCUGGAGAUAGCUGGUUCUCUCCGAAAUAGCUUUAGGGCUAGCCUCAAGUGAUGAUUAUUGGAGGUAGAGCACUGUUUGGACGAGGGGCCCCUCUCGGGUUACCGAAUUCAGACAAACUCCGAAUGCCAAUUAAUUUAACUUGGGAGUCAGAACAUGGGUGAUAAGGUCCGUGUUCGAAAGGGAAACAGCCCAGACCACCAGCUAAGGUCCCAAAAUAUAUGUUAAGUGGAAAAGGAUGUGGCGUUGCCCAGACAACUAGGAUGUUGGCUUAGAAGCAGCCAUCAUUUAAAGAGUGCGUAAUAGCUCACUAGUCGAGUGACACUGCGCCGAAAAUGUACCGGGGCUAAACAUAUUACCGAAGCUGUGGAUUGUCCUUUGGACAAUGGUAGGAGAGCGUUCUAAGGGCGUUGAAGCAUGAUCGUAAGGACAUGUGGAGCGCUUAGAAGUGAGAAUGCCGGUGUGAGUAGCGAAAGACGGGUGAGAAUCCCGUCCACCGAUUGACUAAGGUUUCCAGAGGAAGGCUCGUCCGCUCUGGGUUAGUCGGGUCCUAAGCUGAGGCCGACAGGCGUAGGCGAUGGAUAACAGGUUGAUAUUCCUGUACCACCUAUAAUCGUUUUAAUCGAUGGGGGGACGCAGUAGGAUAGGCGAAGCGUGCGAUUGGAUUGCACGUCUAAGCAGUAAGGCUGAGUAUUAGGCAAAUCCGGUACUCGUUAAGGCUGAGCUGUGAUGGGGAGAAGACAUUGUGUCUUCGAGUCGUUGAUUUCACACUGCCGAGAAAAGCCUCUAGAUAGAAAAUAGGUGCCCGUACCGCAAACCGACACAGGUAGUCAAGAUGAGAAUUCUAAGGUGAGCGAGCGAACUCUCGUUAAGGAACUCGGCAAAAUGACCCCGUAACUUCGGGAGAAGGGGUGCUCUUUAGGGUUAACGCCCAGAAGAGCCGCAGUGAAUAGGCCCAAGCGACUGUUUAUCAAAAACACAGGUCUCUGCUAAACUGUAAGGUGAUGUAUAGGGGCUGACGCCUGCCCGGUGCUGGAAGGUUAAGAGGAGUGGUUAGCUUCUGCGAAGCUACGAAUCGAAGCCCCAGUAAACGGCGGCCGUAACUAUAACGGUCCUAAGGUAGCGAAAUUCCUUGUCGGGUAAGUUCCGACCCGCACGAAAGGCGUAACGAUUUGGGCACUGUCUCAACGAGAGACUCGGUGAAAUCAUAGUACCUGUGAAGAUGCAGGUUACCCG
rnacentral:rRNA from 1 species